AGAGCUCUGAGGUUUCAAGCUGAAGAUGAGAAACUUGCACUUUUGUGGUUUGGGGUGUAAGAAUGUGAAAACCAGGGGAUUUUCACCCUGACCCCAAAUCCCGCAGCGUUCCAGCACGUCUGCUUAUCCCGGCAGUGUUUAUGUCGGAUCUGAGCCACCGAAUACCAGGCUACCUCCUUUUUCUAGCUUUUAUUUUUAUUUUCCUGGUUGGUUCUGCUGCCCGCUGGAUCUUGCAGAGUAACAGUUGAAGACAGAAAUGCCCGAGAGCGAAGAAAGCAGAGAAUUGAAUUGCUGGAGUGACAUUUCUUCCUCUCUCUUCUAUUGAAGAAGAAAUGAAUCCUCUGACAACAGACCAUAGAAGGGAAGUGAUGGAGGCAUAUCCCAAUGACCUGCUUGCCGUUCAACACCUUGCUCUGGCUCUUUGCCUUGCCUUACAGAGGCACUCAGUGCUGGAUUCCUCCUUUCCUGGAUUCCCAGGGCAUAAUUACUCCAUUCCUUUGAUGGCAAUAACCUGAACUUUGAAAUAUGGGAAAAUGAAUCAGACAGGAGAUGGAUGAAGUCAUUUUCUAGAAGCUGCUCAGACUGUAUUCCCAUCCAAAACAAGAGCUAUUGAUGGUCUUGGUGACCACAACCAUCAUCUCACACUAAUUACUCUCAAUUGCUCCUACAUCAUGGACAGAAAUGUCUGAGUGAGGAAAGGGCCACAUCCAAAGGGGCAGGGUCUGAGGAGUUAACUAUCACCCUAUUUACUCCCCUGUGACAUCCCAUUGCCCUGGGUGGUUGGGGUCACCUCCAUGGGUGGGAUUUUUCCAUAACUCAGGGAGCUGGGAUGUAGAUUUUUGGUAAUGGAUGUUUUAGUUUCAAUAUCCACCAAUGAAAUGAGAUUUUUUUCCUGUGCCUAAAGUCUUUGGAUUGAUUUUGCUGAGACACUUGGGCUCCAGUCCUUCCCGGAGUAAUCACUGAAUCAUUAAGGUUGGAAAAGACCUCUGAGAUCACCCAUCCAACCCCAGCCCACCCCACCAUGCCCACCGCCCUCAUCCCUCAGUGCCACAUCCCCAUGGUUCUAGAACAUCUCCAUGGACAGUGACCCCACCAUUCCCUGGGCAGUGUGUACCAAUGCACCACCACUCUUUGGAAGAAUAAAAUGUACCUAAUAUCCAGUCUGAACCUCCUCUGGAUUAUUUUUUCUUGCGAGACAGCAGGCAGUAAGACUGUAUAUGCUAGAUAUUUUUUAGUUUGUUUGUUUGUUUGUUUUACAAUAGAAUGUGAAUGAAGUCCCUCUCCAUGCUUCAACUCUCUGUUCCAGAGCUUUGCUGGGUGCACAUGGUGUUAAUUCAGCCUUGAGAUGAUGUGUAGAUGACACCUCAGUGGGGUAAGGUCCAAGAUGAGCAUCCCACAGUGCUGGAUGGAAUAAGGGCCUGAGGGAAGGGGAGGCCUUGCCAGUAAUAAAGAGCCCUGAUAGCAAAUGGGAAGGUUACCUGGCAACAUUCCUGUCCAAUUAAAGCAAAUUUAUUGUCAAGUUGCUUCCUUAUUGCUGCCCUGUUAUUAAUUGUUAAUGUGGUGCUGCACUCUGUAUAGGGUGCUGCAAAAGGCUGAGAUCAGGGGGUCUGAAAGGACAUUUUCUGUGCAAAGAAUCAUGAGUGCUCAUUGCUGGCUCUGCUCUGCAGGCUCUGGCAAGGAAAUUCCUGCUCUUGGAACAAGAGGGCAAACGGGUGGCAAAGAAAAAUAAAAUGCGUGGGGUCACUGGGUUCCUAAAUUAUAGUGCUGUGUGCAUGUGAAAUGCUUACAGAAAAAGAGACACCAGGAGAAUGGAAAUUUGCAGAACACCGUUUGGGAAUCUUGAGCUGUUUUCUCUAUAAAUAGAAUUCUCUGCUUCACACUGAAAUGAGACAGUGCCGUAUCCUUGGGUUCUCACUGGGCGCUUUGCUGUGCUCAGCCUGAUCUGAUCGGUCCCCCACCCUGACUGCAUGGAACCGGUGAGGCUGAGUUAUCAGGAGAUGGGCAGAUCUCAGCCAAGAAAGACAAACAUAAAUAAAAGAAGUUUGAAUUGGAGCAGAACUCAGCAUAGAAUCAUAGAACAUCUUGAGUUGGAAGGGGCUCUUAAGGAUCAUUGAGUCCAACUGCUGGCAUAUGGAGAUGAUUGACAUAAUUCAUGCAUUCAAACCCAACAGCGUUGAGCAAACACAGCUUUUGCUUUUUGUUAUCUUCUCCUUUCUGCGUGGAAGAGGAAAACCUCCAUUUCCAAACCCUCUUCAGCAAAACCCAAAUGUUUUUGCAUUCAGGAUGAAAGCAGCUUUCACCAAGCUAUGUGCUGCACAUGGGAGAGACCCCAGAGCUGCCCCACCAGUUCCUGGGCUUCAAUGCCUCCUUAGUUAGGUGGUGCUCUGGGCUGUGCUGCCCACUAAAGUUCCAUUUAUAGACAUUUUACAACGUGCUAAUAAAUUUACAAAGUGUUAAUAAACAGGGAUAAUUGUUUGUUAGUGUUUCUGAAAGAAUCCAACAGGGCAAAAACUCCCUAUAAAGGAUCUCUAAUGCUGCUCCUCGAUGAGCGUAUAAAACAUGUCCAACACAGACACGUCUGUGGUGCGGGCAGAACAUCUUUUAGCCAUUAACUCCUUGUAGCCCAGAUAAAAGCAGGACUUUCCAAGAAGUGUGGUUUUCUAAUUCUGUGCUACAUUCAUAUGGUAAGAAUUCAGUUUUAAAGAACUAUUUUUUUUUUUUUUAUGAAGAUGAAUGGUAUUCAGUGCCCAACAGAGACUCACUUGUGCCAGAGUCAUCAAAUGCCUUCCCAAAAACACAAGUGACAUCUUGGAUUACAGUGAUCCCUUUGCAACAGGACAGAUUUUUAGUUCAAUGCAUGCUACGUUCCCACGUUUGCCAUGCAUGGGUCUGCCUGAACCAGGAACCACGCACAUUUCUGAGCCCCGCUGUAGCAACAGAGAAUAUAAUUAAUUGCCUAAACAGGGCAACAUGCUUAACUAAAAGUUGGCAAGCUCACAUCUCCAGCCCUGCACUGAAUGCAUCAAUUCUGCUCUUACCAGAGGAGGACCCAGGAGAGCAGCCAUCCUCUUGCUGCAGACCACGCGCUGUGUUUCUGCCUUGGAGAGCACAGGGGGCAGAGCAGAGCCUUCUUCCCACCCCAUCCACACAGCACUAUCCUGAACACAGAGGAUGGGUUGCAGAGGGCAGAACCUGUUUUCAGCCUGAGAUAACCUACAAAUCUCCUGGGAUUCAAAAGGAAAACCCACGAACCUUUGUAUCUGCAAGACUUUUUGGGGUGAGAUCUUGGCCUCCUUGAAUACAAAGGGGAACUCCCUUUGAUUUACACAGUUCUUGGCUUGUUGCCUUCAGCCCCGAGCUUUGCUGGAUUGCAAAACUUGUAUCACCUUUCCAUAGUGGAGAAGAAAACCAUCCCAGACAGAGCAUUGCUGCAAACCAAAGGUUGUGCAAAGCCAUGGGUUUGGAAAGAGGCUGUCGGUAUCUUCUUUGCAUGAACAGAACUCUCAGCAUUUCCACAGGUGCUGCAGAUACAGCAGGGCCGUCCUGCUGCCUUCCUGCACAGCACCAAGUGUUUCUUCCCAGCUGGUGAUAUCAUGUCAGCUAAUGGGCUUUAAUUGUGCCACCCCACUUAGCAACAAUAAGCUGAAAGCUCAUUAUGUGCUGUCCUUGUGGCUUCUACGAGCAGCCCAAAGCCUCUCCAAUGGUCAGAGCUCUUCCCGAGAGCACAGCAGCAGCAACACAGAGUGGGGACGAGGAGUUCAGAUUGGAUAUUAGGAAAGGUUUCUUCUCAGAAGGAGCAGUGAUGCACUGGCACAGGCUGCCCAGGGAGGUGGUAGAGUCGCCACCACUGAAGGUGUUCAUGAAACAUGGAGAUGUGGCACUGAGGGACAUGGUCAAUGGGCGUGGAGUUGACUCGGUGAUCUUAGAGGUCUUUUCCAACGUUAAUGAUUCUAUUAUCCAAACUGUGUCAGUGACAGCCUACUGUCUGCCUGCAUUUGCUUACAUAACCUGCCAGUCACCCCAAAGCUAAUGCUUCAGACAGCAGUAAAUGAAUACAAAGCCACCCAUUUAAAUAUCCAAUAGGAGAAAGCAGAAUGGAUUGUUCUGUGCUUACGAGACUAAUUGGAUUUGGGAGAAAAAAUUUAAUGAUUUGGUGGUAAUGAGUUACUGGAUGGCUGAUUCCAGCAGAAAGUCCAACAGUGGCAUCAUGCCAAUGGGAGCACAGUCAGCAAGUGAGAUCUCUCUUGGAGUCUAACAGGGAACCAGUGAUAGGUCUUGAGCAUGGAAUAGAGCUCCAGGGCUUCUUCUGAUCUCAUUUCAUGCCUCUAUAACUCCUUGGCCCUGAUUUACACUGAUAUCACUGAGACUCCAAUUGGACCUUAAUUUUUUUAUAUACAGCAUUUCCUAAAGCUGUGGAGCACUCCUGUGGACCUGUUACAUCAGUGAAGAUGAUAUAUCCAGGUACUGAUCGUAUCUUUUGGCUGCCUUGAUGGCUUCCUUGUGUAAAUUGAAUUUUGAGGUUUUUUGAACAAAAGGCCCUAAGUUUGACACGUGAUGCUGGAGACGUGGGGGCCUUUGGGGUGAAAAGAGGAUGUCUAGCUGAGGACUUUACAUAACAUUUAACUUUCAGCCUUAGGACACAGGACAUGUUUUCCACCCUUUCUCUCUCUGGUAGUCCAUCGUGCGUUGGAAAUUGUUACUGUGUCAUCCUUCAAUCUUCUCAUUUUUAGACAUCUUAUCCCCUUUGUGUUCUCUCCUGCACUCCCUUCCAUCAGCCCAUAUCUCUGCUGAAGUGCAGCAGUAUUGCAAUGCCAUGUGUUCAGCUUGCACACAAUUAUCCCAUGCUCUUUGUAGAACCACUCAGAUGUUCUUCCUGGCAGCAAACUGUGACUCUCUCUGAACAAAAACAGUUUUCCAACCAAUUUUACCCCUUUCAGUAGUUAUCGUUAGGCCUUAUACCACAGCUGACUUGAGAAUGUACCAUUUGAGUCAAUAGAGAAGCCUUCCUAAGACCAAGACAAAUGAUUUUUGACCAUUCUUCCUCAUCUCUUUGCUCUCUCUUACUCUAUAGAAGAGGAAAUUAGAUCAAUUUGGUGUGAUCUAAACAAAUUUAUGACAGCUAUGACUCACUGUACAUCUCAGGACAUCCUUCCAUAUCAGAUUAAUGGUUACACAACAACAAAGCUUAAUGUCUUCACACUGUUUCCUUCCCAGAAAAUUGGCAAAUAUCACAGAAAAAUGGAUAUUCCUUCAUGAUCAGAGUGGCUUUGUUCAAACCAUUGCACCCCAGACAGCCUGAGCUGUGGUCUUGGUCUCCACAAUCAAAGCUGUCUUUCAAGCACAUUGUAGAAUGGAAGUUAGUAGUUGAUAAUUUACCAGUCAGACCAUCAGUGCUAAUUACUAUGCUUCCCUGUUGAAACAAAGAGAUUGAAAAAGAAAUGGACAAAAAGGCUUCUUUAGGAGAACGGCAGCUAAUUCACAGAUUUCUGUUAUUAGCAUUUUCCUUAUCUGGAAAUGUAAAUGUUCCAAAAAAGUGCAUUUUCAUCAAUGGAGUAUGAACAAGAAAUUUUGAAAUCCCCUAAUUCCUUAUGUGUCCUUAACUGAUAUAAAAUUAUACAGAUAUACACAGCUCAGGAUUUUUUCACAAGUUCUUGAAAUUCAUCUGACUCUGUAGGAAACCUUUUCUAUUUCAUUCAUAGUGAAGGUGUAUCGUGUUGUUAUUUUAUUUUAUUUUAUUUUAUUUUAUUUUAUUUUAUUGUUGUUGUUGUUUUAUUUCUGUCUAAUAGGACCUAUCAGUACAAAUGUUUGGGCAAAUAAAUAUUUACCAGAAAAUCCUGGUGGCCAUUUAAGAUCAGUAAGCUGGAGAUCUUAGCUUGAAUAAGCAGCCCUCAUAAAGGAAACUAUGUUGAGUUUUUGGCUUGUUGGCAAAGAAUUUCUGCCAAGACUUUGCAUAAAAUGAACAUUAAAGGCCAUGAAAGUUGGGUGUUUAUUCACCUUUUCCUUGGCAGUUCAAAGGAGCUGUAAUGGCAAAAGCUUGGUACUGGGAACGGAGGUGGUGAUCCUUGGUUUCCACUUCCAGCCAUUCAAUGUCAAAAUGCUGCCAGAAAACACUUUUUUGUUUUCAACAAAUGCAUAAGUUGUGGUCUAGAUUAAUGAAAAAUAAAGUCUUUGUUCACUCCU